AAGCUCUUAAAUGGGCUGCCA
rnacentral:snRNA from 1 species